rnacentral:rRNA from 1 species
AACGAACGCUGGCGGCAUGCCUAACACAUGCAAGUCGAACGAGACCUUCGGGUCUAGUGUCGCACGGGUUCGUAACGCGUGGGAAUCUGCCCUUGGGUUCGGAAUAACAGUUUGAAACGACUGCUAAUACCGGAUGAUGUCGUAAGUCCAAAGAUUUAUCGACAAAGGAUUAGCCCGCGUAGGAUUAGCUUGUUGGUUAGGUAAAGGCUCACCAAGGCGACGAUCCUUAGCUGGUCUGAGAGGAUGAUCAGCCACACUGGGACUGAGACACGGCCCAGACUCCUACGGGAGGCAGCAGAGGGGAAUAUUGGAAAAUGGGCGAAAGCCUGAUCCAGCAAUGCCGCGUGAGUGAUGAAGGCCUUAGGGUUGUAAAGCUCUUUUACCCGGGAUGAUAAUGACAGUACCGGGAGAAUAAGCACCGGCUAACUCCGUG